AUGAAUGCGAAAUGCAAACUACAGCGCUUGGAGAAUGACAGAUUCUCUUUGCAGAGCAAAAGUUUCCCCUUUCCUCUGGGCACAAGCUUGAAUUCAAGAUCACAUCUCAGAAGGAGAAGAAUGGAGGAGCAGGUGGGACAGCUGAGUAAAGUAAUGAAACAGCCACUGUGGGGAACUAGAAAUGCUGCUGAAGGGCGAAGUACACAGGGAUCAAGUAAGUUCAAAAAAUGCUGAACAAAAAUAUAAAUUCAAUAAAGGAUGUAUUGCUCUGUUUUUGAAAUUACUUAUACAAAGUGUUACAUCAGGGAAAAGGUGAUGUUAUAACUCUUAAUUAAUAAAUUAGCAGCUGUUUUGUGAUUAAAAUGUCUCCUAUUGACUGCAUUUUUUGAGAUUCCAAAGAAUGCAAGCUAAUACUGUUAUUGUUGUUGUUGUUAUUUUCUAUUUGGUAGUGGUAGAAACUUUUAUGAACAUAUUAAUUAGGUUGUACUUCCAAUUGCAUGAUCUGAUUUUGGAAAUACGAGAUUUCAUGCAGUGCCUGGAAAUAAUUCUUGGGUGACAAAUAAAACCUCUAAGAUGUUUGCUUUGAAGUUUAUCUUCAAAUGAAUAAAAAUCACAGUGGGAAGAAAAGGCAAAAUGAUUCAGCUUUGUUCACUUUUUAGUAGAAACUUCUCUGUGGUUUGUGUUAGAAUGUCACAAAUCCAUAUAUAUGUAACCUGCUUUUACAGAGAUUUCUUCAAAAACCCUAUGAUGUUUGCUUAAAAGUGUCACCAUUCUGUGAGAAAUUCACUGAAAAUAGCAAAGCAUAAUAUGACUUUAACCAGAUCUUGUUUAACCUAGUUUAAAUAUUAAUAAUUUAAAUUCUCUUUUAUGUUGCCAUGAUACCUCAGAGGAAAGAAUGGCAAACAUAAGAUAUUAAUUAAGGGGU
rnacentral:lncRNA from 1 species